UAGGGAAUCUUCCACAAUGGACGCAAGUCUGAUGGAGCAACGCCGCGUGAGUGAAGAAGGUCUUCGGAUCGUAAAGCUCUGUUGUUGGUGAAGAAGGAUAGAGGCAGUAACUGGUCUUUAUUUGACGGUAAUCAACCAGAAAGUCACGGCUAACUACGUGCCAGCAGCCGCGGUAAUACGUAGGUGGCAAGCGUUGUCCGGAUUUAUUGGGCGUAAAGCGAGCGCAGGCGGAAUGAUAAGUCUGAUGUGAAAGCCCACGGCUCAACCGUGGAACUGCAUCGGAAACUGUCAUUCUUGAGUGCAGAGGAGGAGAGUGGAACUCCAUGUGUAGCGGUGGAAUGCGUAGAUAUAUGGAAGAACACCAGUGGCGAAGGCGGCUCUCUGGUCUGCAACUGACGCUGAGGCUCGAAAGCAUGGGUAGCGAACAGGAUUAGAUACCCUGGUAGUCCAUGCCGUAAACGAUGAGCGCUAGGUGUUGGGGACUUUCCGGUCCUCAGUGCCGCAGCAAACGCAUUAAGCGCUCCGCCUGGGGAGUACGACCGCAAGGUUGAAAC
rnacentral:rRNA from 1 species